AGAGUUUGAUCCUGGCUCAGGACGAACGCUGGCGGCGUGCUUAACACAUGCAAGUCGAACGAAAAUACCAAGCUUGCUUGGUUGAUUAGUGGCGAACGGGUGAGUAACACGUGAGUAACCUGCCCCUUACUUUCCUGGAUAACUGCUCGAAAGGGUAGCUAAUACGGGAUAUUCUGACCAGCCUGCAUGGGUUGGUUUGGAAAGGUUGUUUUUCUGGUAAGGGAUGGGCUCGCGGCCUAUCAGCUUGUUGGUGGGGUGAUGGCCUACCAAGGCUUUGACGGGUAGCCGGCCUGAGAGGGUGACCGGUCACAUUGGGACUGAGAUACGGCCCAGACUCCUACGGGAGGCAGCAGUGGGGAAUAUUGCACAAUGGGCGCAAGCCUGAUGCAGCGACGCCGCGUGAGGGAUGACGGCCUUCGGGUUGUAAACCUCUGUUAGCAGGGAAGAAGAGAGAUUGACGGUACCUGCAGAGAAAGCGCCGGCUAACUACGUGCCAGCAGCCGCGGUAAUACGUAGGGCGCGAGCGUUGUCCGGAAUUAUUGGGCGUAAAGGGCUUGUAGGCGGUUGGUCGCGUCUGCCGUGAAAUCCUCUGGCUUAACUGGGGGCGUGCGGUGGGUACGGGCAGGCUUGAGUGCGGUAGGGGAGACUGGAACUCCUGGUGUAGCGGUGGAAUGCGCAGAUAUCAGGAAGAACACCGGUGGCGAAGGCGGGUCUCUGGGCCGUUACUGACGCUGAGGAGCGAAAGCGUGGGGAGCGAACAGGAUUAGAUACCCUGGUAGUCCACGCUGUAAACGUUGGGCACUAGGUGUGGGGGCCACCCGUGGUUUCUGCGCCGUAGCUAACGCUUUAAGUGCCCCGCCUGGGGAGUACGGCCGCAAGGCUAAAACUCAAAGGAAUUGAC
rnacentral:rRNA from 1 species